CAGCAGCCACGGUAAUACGGAGGGAGCUAGCGUUGUUCGGAAUCACUGGGCGUAAAGCGCACGUAGGCGGCUAUUCAAGUCAGGGGUGAAAGCCCGGGGCUCAACCCCGGAACUGCCUUUGAAACUAGAUAGCUUGAAUCUUGGAGAGGCGAGUGGAAUUCCGAGUGUAGAGGUGAAAUUCGUAGAUAUUCGGAAGAACACCAGUGGCGAAGGCGACUCGCUGGACAAGUAUUGACGCUGAGGUGCGAAAGCGUGGGGAGCAAACAGGAUUAGAUACCCCGGUAGUCCCUGUCUCUUAUAC
rnacentral:rRNA from 1 species